AUUCUUUUUAUAAAAAUUGUACAUUGGAACAGGGAAAUAAAAGUUGAAAAUUCCUCCGAAAGUAAUGAUCAACACGCUGAAACUGUGAAGAAGUCUUUACAAGGUGAGAUGAUCGCUAUUGUUAAACAGCAGUCUAUUGAACGUGGUUGUUCAAUUUAUGUAUACAAAAACAAAUGAAAAAUUAUAUUGAACGUGGUUCUUCAAUUUAUGUAUACAAAAACAAAUUAAAAAUUAAAAUGUUAAGAAGUCUUUACAAGGUGAGAUGAUCGCUAUUGUUUAACAGCAGUCUAUUGAACGUGUUUGUUCAAUUUAUGUAUACAAAAACAAAUUAAAAAUUAAAAUUUUAAACUUGAAUGCUAAACAUGGUCUGCUGAACCUUUCAAAUGCCUUUACCGAUAUUGCAGUACGUUAUUCUCACCUUCAAUAUUAAUUUUCGACUUUUGUCAUCAUUUAAUGCAAAAUUAAUUUGACCCCAGUGUUCAAUAACACGGUAUUUCUCACUUUCCACUUUGGUCUAAUUCUUUAAAUCAAAUUCAUUUGUUUGACAUUUGUAUGUUUUUCAUUUGAUACUCUAACAAUUUUUUUGUAUUUGUUAUAUUUUACUAUAAAUUGGAGAUCAAAUGUGUGUAUCGGUGCUUUGGUUGACUAGUAUAGUUAUGAUACUGGUGACGAGUGAUGUUAUGUUCUUUUUAUAUAAGUUGUAAUGACAUGAUACCUAACACUCCAUUUUGCACUUCACGGGAGAGAUUGUGCUUGAUUUAAAUAUGUCGAAUACAUCAUCUUUUAAACUUAGUUGCACCGCGCGUAAUGCUGUGUGUAUGUUUAUUCCACAUUGUGCAGAGGUAUAGGGGGCAGUUCAAAACAAAACAUGUUUAACCCCGACACAUGCUGGCGCCUGUCUCAUAUCAAGAACUUCUAGCCUUUAUUAGUGUUCUUUAUUUUAUUUUGGUUCAUCUAUAUGUUUCGAAAUUUAGUGUCGUGUCCAUUUCGCUCAACAUUAUACAUUAUUGUUUAGGGGUCAGCUGAAGAACGGCUUUGGCUGUUUAUGCUCUUUGGUCGACAUAUUGUCUCCUUUCCACAUUCCACAUUCCCCGUUUCCAUUCUAAAUUCUAUUAAAAUCAGUUGAAAAAAAAUCUUAACUUAUCAGAUCGAAAAAAAAACAGAAAACCAUCUUACAACGCAAACUGGAUGUGGCAUUGUAGUUAUACAUUCCUGAAAACAAAAAAGACAUAAUUCUGUUUCAAACAAUUAUUGCAACGUUUUAAGUAUUACAAGCGGUCCGGUCAGUGCCAUUAUGAAGCCAUCAUGUUGUAAAAAUGGGUGAAGUGUUCAAAGAAAUGUACAUCCCAUAUAUUUGUUUUUCUUUUUAAAUUUCUUAUACAUGUAUUUUUCAAUAAUUCAUCACAAAGAAGUUGAUAAAAAAUGCUUUUUGUUCUGCCAAAAAAAAUCACAAAUAUACAACGUUUACAGCAUCGACUUUUUGACACACAAAAAAACCAACACUUUCUUUUAUCAACUUCUUCCUAUCGUGGUUUAAUGUUUAAUUUGUACAGAUUUGUCUACCUCAUCUUAAGUGAAAAUAUGUGUGAAACUGUUAUUUGUUCAUCCUAAAAGCCCGAAAAUGGGUAAACAAUUAUGAAAAAUGGGAAAAUCCUAAAAAAUGGGAUUAUUUCAUAUGGCCCAAGCAAACAAAGAAGUAUAUCAUCAUCAUAUAUUUUGUUCGUCAUUAAUUACUUUUUUAAAGUCAUAUACAUCUAAACAUUAUUAGAAAUGAAAGUUGAUAUGAAAAAGAGUCGGCUCCCUAGAAAUAUACAUCCUUAAUAUAUGUAUUCCCAAUAAUUGAGUAUGUACUGCAUGUGCGAAUAUUUUUUUAUUACAGAUACAAACACAACAACAGAAAAUAAAAUUGUGGAUAUGUAUACCAGUUUUAAAAACAUAAACACAAAAUAAAGACUGUCAAACCGAAUGCAGAAUGUGAGGUUUCCCAUAUCUAUCAUUGCCAUCAAUCAAACGAGUUUGUACAUGAUUCAGUAAUGUUAAUCAUGAAAUGUCUGAAUUGUUUAUUCUUUAAGACGUCAUAUCUUAUCUGUAUCAUCUUGCUUAUGUAUUUUAUACAACGUUUCUAUAUCUGGCAUUAUUUGAUUAUACUAGCAUAUGUAUUUUUUAUUUGUUAUUCAUCUACUAAGUCAAAUAUUAUAAGAUUUAACAAUGUAUAUUUUUAUAAAAGAUAAACGUUUUCACUGAACUUUAUUUUCAAAUAUCAAUGCAGAUCUAUCGGUAAACGCUCCUACAGCUUGUAUAUGCGGCAUUUACAUAUAGUGAUUAUGACUCCAAUUUGAAAUGUGACAGUGAUUUUGUAUCACAAUAAUUUUUAAUGAACGCAGCUAUUGAGACUAGCAUUGUAAGGCUGAAAUGUUCAAUGAGUAUUUUUGGAUCAAUAAGAUCUUUGCUUCUAAAUUUAAAUUAUCAAGGCUCUGAUAAAUGAAGUAAUUUUCUACGGAUAAAUAAUAAUACAGCUGCAUAGGGAAAACUACAAAGACAGGUCUGCAUGCUAAUGUUUGGGAUACAUACAGUUGAAAGAAAAAAACGACAUGAAUCAGACUUGAAGAACAUUUCUGAUUUUUUUAUUUGAAAUUUAUGGGAGGGAAAAGAUAUAAAACUUUGCUGAGUGAAAAUAAAUAAGAAAGAAAAAAGUCCAAAACAGAUCCAAACUAUACAGUUCUAAGGUAUCUUCAAGGAAAUAGCUUGGAAGGUGAUAAAGUAUUAGAAAGUUUGUAACAUUUAGAACGAGGUAGCCAAAUGAACAUGCUGAAGUAUUCACCACUCUUGUGUUGACAUUACAUAUCAUAAUGCAUUAUUUACUGUAAAUAUGUUUCAUAAAUAUUAGAAUCAAUUAAAGUAAGAACUUUGCCC
rnacentral:lncRNA from 1 species